rnacentral:rRNA from 1 species
AACGAACGCUGGCGGCAUGCCUAACACAUGCAAGUCGAACGAGACCUUCGGGUCUAGUGGCGCACGGGUGCGUAACGCGUGGGAACCUGCCCUUAGGUUCGGAAUAACUCCCCGACAGGGGUGCUAAUACCGGAUAAUGUCUUCGGACCAAAGAUUUAUCGCCUUUGGAUGGGCCCGCGUUGGAUUAGCUAGUUGGUAGGGUAAAAGCCUACCAAGGCGACGAUCCAUAGCUGGUCUGGGAGGAUGAUCAGCCACACUGGGACUGAGACACGGCCCAGACUCCUACGGGAGGCAGCAGUGGGGAAUAUUGGACAAUGGGCGAAAGCCUGAUCCAGCAAUGCCGCGUGAGUGAUGAAGGCCUUAGGGUUGUAAAGCUCUUUUACCCGGGAUGAUAAUGACAGUACCGGGAGAAUAAGCUCCGGCUAACUCCGUG